GACGAACGCUGGCGGCGUGCUUAACACAUGCAAGUCGAACGGUAAGGCCCUUCGGGGUACACGAGUGGCGAACGGGUGAGUAACACGUGGGUGAUCUGCCCUGCACUUCGGGAUAAGCCUGGGAAACUGGGUCUAAUACCGGAUAGGACCCUGGGAUGCGUGUCCUGGGGGGGAAAGCUUUUGCGGUGUGGGAUGGGCCCGCGGCCUAUCAGCUUGUUGGUAGGGUGAUGGCCUACCAAGGCGACGACGGGUAGCCGGCCUGAGAGGGUGACCGGCCACACUGGGACUGAGAUACGGCCCAGACUCCUACGGGAGGCAGCAGUGGGGAAUAUUGCACAAUGGGCGCAAGCCUGAUGCAGCGACGCCGCGUGAGGGAUGACGGCCUUCGGGUUGUAAACCUCUUUCAGCACCGACGAAGCGCAAGUGACGGUAGGUGCAGAAGAAGGACCGGCCAACUACGUGCCAGCCGCCGCCGUAA
rnacentral:rRNA from 1 species